UACGGGGGGGGCAAGCGUUGUUCGGAAUUACUGGGCGUAAAGGGCUCGUAGGUGGCCAACUAAGUCAGACGUGAAAUCCCUCGGCUUAACCGGGGAACUGCGUCUGAUACUGGAUGGCUUGAGUUUGGGAGAGGAACGCGGAAUUCCAGGUGUAGCGGUGAAAUGCGUAGAUAUCUGGAGGAACACCGGUGGCGAAGGCGGCGUCCUGGACCAACACUGACACUGAGGAGCGAAAGCCAGGGGAGCAAACGGG
rnacentral:rRNA from 1 species